GCGUUGUGUUCAAAUUGGGGAUAAAAAGGAUUCACAUCAGCUUAAACUUUGUGCAUAAUGGAAGAUGCAUCUGUUUCUGUAAAAUCAGCUUUUUUCCCCCUCCCAUUCUAAUGUUCAAACAGCUUUUGGCUUGAAUUUUCCACCAAUAUUGCAGACUUGUAGCCUUGGCUCUCUCAGAUGUCGUAAUUGACUCCAUCACUGUCUUCUACAUGGUGUUUAGAAUAACAAGUGAGGACCUGAUGGUGAUAUCCAGUCCAGCUGAUAUGAUAAUUUGGAAAUGAAGUUGAGCAGAGAAAAGCUUGAAGCUUAGGCUAUUUGAAUGUAACAGGAGGGUCAACCCAUGCAGAUAGACAUUCAGGGAACAUUGGUGCGUAUUACAAAGAGCCUGAGGCCGCAUUCAUGGUGGUUACUGAUACUAUCAUAGUAUCAUUGUUCUCCUGCUUAAUCGCUGUGGCUAAUGACAGGAAAUGAAAUCACCUACUGUAGACCAAAACGCUUCCCACAGAAUAAUUACUGCUGUUGACCUUGUGUGUCUGCGUGGUCUGCAAGAGCUCAGUGAUAACACUCACCACACAUUUAGUCACUGCAUAUAACAUGAACUUCUUCAGGCUGCUCUAUUAACCUUUUUCUCAUAACGGACAAAGCUCUUACACAUGUGUUAAAAUCUAGAUGAUCUAAUAAAACCCCAGUGAUAUCAUCUGAUAUUAUCUGUUCUGUCAUGUUCACAUGGUUUAGAAGAGUAAAAACAGUUUGUUUGUGCGGGCAGUGUGAUAAUUUACCACAGUACAAAGCCCUAGAGGAACAUGUCACUGUAUUAUUAUGUCUAAAUUCCCUUGCAUAUACUAAAUUAUUGCUUGUGCUUUUAUAUUACUCUCUAUUAUUUCAUUAGCACAAAGUGUGAAAUUGUUUCCACUGCAUUUUUUUCAGUUUCAGUUAGUUUUGCAUAUUUAAAGAAAACUAUCUCACAGAAUAUGUGCAUGGCUUCAAGUCUUUCUCUAAUUCACACCAUGUAUUAACACUGGAUGCCAUGGUGUGGGACCAUCAGCAUAAACUAAUUCCACUCAUAUGCAUUCACACUCUGUUGACAAUGUCAUAAACUUGGGGUCUGGUGUUUUGCCCGAGGACUUUUGAGCAUGUGACUGUGAGGAGCCCUGGAUCGAAAGGUCGACCCUCCAAAUUCUGGAGAUGACUGACUCUAUCACAGUGUAUCAUACUGACACAACAGCUGAAAACAUGGCAUAUUUUUACAUGCAGAAGGAGCUGAAACAAAAACUUACUAUACUUAGCUAACGGUCAUGUUACUUUUUGAGAUCUUUUCAACACACGCAGCUGGUUAUACUGCACGAUUUUGACUGUGAACAGUUCAUAGAUAAAGCCAGGUAGGUGACACAGAUACAUAAAUAAGAUACAAAGAUACACAGAUACAAAAUGAUAAAAUUAAUACCACUCUUGUAGCUUUUUGUCUUCAAAGGGUUAAUGCAGACUGAUGUGGAAAACAGCUAGCCUGGUUCUCUCCAACUUCUCAGAAGCAGUCUGUGCUCACACACAUGAAACCCUGGCGAUCCAGCCUUUGGGCUCUUCAUACCCAAACUGCGGGUUUCUCGAAGGACAUUUCAACCAUCUGCUGACUCUGUAAAGUUGGGAAUAAACUCAUUCAGGCAGGCAGGAGUUUGGUUAAUAUGUUCAAGCAAGAUUACAUACUAGGAAUGUUUGUUUACUUAUUUUGUGAUUUACUCUUGAGUUUUCCUUGUUUUUUAUGGUUGGAGUGGCCUCUUUAUUCUCUUGGCUUCUGUACUUGUUAAUUUUGUAUUCAGGCAGAGUUUCAGUAGUUAACUGCAAUAAAUCACAUUUUUUAUCUUACGUUUCAUAUAUUUUUUAAUUUUGCACUUCAAAACAUUUUUUUUUUGUUCAUAAUAACAGUGUAUGGCGAUUCUUACCAGCGUCUUGAUUUGAAAAUUGAAUUAAUUUAAUGACAUGUAUUAUAUCAUCCUGACUUUUAGAUUUAUUAUUCAAAUAAGUGCUGCACUGCUUUACCGGUGUGGUCUGAAACCAUAACUUAGAGGAGAAGAAAAAGCUUAACAGUGCUUCUUCUGUGAAAACAGUAUGUGUCUUUAUUUUCUAAGGAUGAUUCUGUUGCACUUGAAGAAACGUGCAAGGAUGCAUGUAUUAAAUUGUCAGUAUAGCAUGCAGGCAUUACCCAGUGAUGUUCAGAGAUCAUUGAUGACAGCAAAAGCAUUUGCAAUUUUCAGGAGUUUUGCUUUGGUUGCUUGUUCUUUUUCAUUUAUAAAAAUAUCAUGGUAUAGUACGAUAAAACGUCAUAGUGUAGUAUGAAUAAAAGUAUUUGAUAAAAAAGUGACAGUAUAGUAUGAUAAAAAUGUCAUAGUAUAGUAUGAUAAAAAUGUCACAGUAUAGUUAAAAAUGUCAAAGUACAGUAUGAUAAAACGUAAAAGUAUAGUGUGUUAAAAAUGUCAUAAUAUAGUACGAUAAAAAUGUCAUAGUAUAGUAUGUUAAAAAAUAUCAUAUAAUAGUAUAGGCAUAGUAUAGUAUGUUAAAGAAAUCAUAGUUAAGUAUGUAAAACUGUUGUUACUUAAUCACAACAUGCCAACUUCAAGAUUCUCAUUCUCCAAAUGGCACCUUGACUGCUUUUGUGAUGGAGUUGUCUGUUGACAUCAGUCUCAACACCUGUAACUGUAUUCUUAGCUCGCGGCUCAAACUUGAGAUACUUUCAGGUGAUAUCCAGUUUAACACUCAGGGCUCUAUUUUCGUGCCUCGCCGGAGACGUGGUGCAGGCGCGGCGUAAGUCAGGUCCGCCGCGCCGACAAGGCAUUCCCAAGCACAAUUUGGUAUUUUGGUGAGAGGCGCAGCCCGGCGUAAGUAUCCCCCCUCCCUAACUCAGCUCCUCCCAGCGGCGUAAAUCAUAGCGAGGGAGGAGAGAGGGCGUGGAGUGGGUUUAACACAGCCGAGACCUGUUUAUCACAUGAGCUUCUCUCCUUGCCUUUAAAUCCACCACCGGCGAGGCGUAUUACUAUUUUCUCGAAGUAGUCAAAGAGAUCGAGAGAUGUCUGAAGACAGCAAUGCCACACGAUGGCGACAGAAGGCAGCCCCUCAAAAAGUGUCGCUGUAAACGCUGCAUUGGGCGUCCUCCACACUCUCUCAUUUAAGCACAGAUGGAUUUGGUGUGUGUAAUGUUGGACCCACUGGUAAGACAAACACCCUUUUCCACAAAUAAAGACACUCACAUAAAGUUGCAUAUAUUCAAACCUCACGUGACAAAGGUGGGUUGUGUGCACAGAUCACAACAUAAACUCCAAAAAUGGCAUUAAAAUCGGAACCAUCUGUGCGUAAAUGACGCAUCGCGCUCCGUAGCUCUUUCUUUCAUAGAUUGGCAUAUAAAAUAAAUUUGGCUCACAAAACUGAAUAUUAUCAUAUCCGUAUGUAGGCUUAAAGUAAAUAACUCAUCUGAGCACUGAAACAAAUCAUCCGUUCAGCCACUGCAGCAGCAGCAGCUGACGAAAAUACAACUGCGCGGGGUCCGCCACCCUCCGCCGCCUCACCGGCGUACACGAAAAUAGAGCCCUAUGUGAUUAAAAGAGCUACCUUUGGACCUUGAUUGAACACCUAAACCCUGGUGUUUAUGUAAAACAUUUCUGACGUCUAUUGAGAAAAGCCCCACAUAAAUAGAUUUCACAUACUUACAAAUGGUGUCAACAAACAUGUAUUUAUUGUUUCAAAAAAGAAAAACUCUUCAAAAGUCAAGGAGCUCUCAAGGAUUUUUUUCAAUCAGUGACUGAACCACUCAAGCCUUUUCCCUUUUGUUUCCCUUUUUAGUGUUACAUUUCUAUUUUUUCAGGAACUCAUGAAAUGUUAGUCAGAAAAGCAAAAGUGUUUUUCAGUUUCCUUGACUAUGAAACACUAAAAAAACAUAAUCCAUGUUCCUCUUCUGCUGAAAGUUGAUUCUUUUCAGGAUAGACGGUUGAAGCUCCAACUCUAAGUUUGUUAAAGGUGUUGAUGCUGUUUGUGUGUGUGUGUGUGUGUGUGUGUUUGCCUUGACCUUGGGAGCACUGCUGGGUGCCAUUGAUUUGUUUACCUGUGAGCUCCUGACAGUUUCUCAUUAGGUUUCUUUUUCACAACACUUCCAGGAGAGUAGCCCAGAGUCUGCUCUUUACAGCCGACGAUGCAUGAUCAAUGUACCUGAUAGAUCGGCGCUGGCAAUAUAAUUCUGUUGAAUGGCUGUUUAAUGGAUGUGAGCGCUCCAUUUAGUUGCCACAAUAAGGUACCUUUUGUGACUGGAGCAGCAUUGUAGUGCUGUAUGAGAGGGAAAACAAUAUCUUGAAAGAAAGGCUUUGUUAAAGUUACCAGGGAAGAGAAAAGCAAAAACUGUGUUGUAUAACAACGACACAAGAGAGUAGUGGAAGCACUUGCAUAGUUAAAUAAAUGCAGUGUAGCAUCAUUAGGGCUUUUUUUACCAUUUUUUAUUUAGAAAGCAGGCAUGCUGAAUCUUAUAGCUCUGAAUAAAUAAAGAAAAAGGAGCAACACGAUAAUGCAAAAACAAUUCCCUCUGUACUUGUGACCAAUAACAAACAUUUUCUCUAAAUGCUGCGAGUAUAAGUUGUAAAUAUAGCACCUUUGGAUCUGUGUAAUAAUGCUUUUAAAAGCACAGCUGUACAGUAUAUAAUGUGGCUGCUUAUAAAUUAAGUAAACUGCAGUAUUUACAGCAAAGCUUUCAAGUAAUUACCUGGAGUCCAACCUUAUUGUUGAUUUCCAGCAGGAGUCUCCUUGGGAAAAGCUCUAAAAAACCUUGUUUUGAAAUUGAACAUACCUACAUAAAUAGCUAAAAUGGUCACAAGGAGGCAGUAUUGUCACUCUUUCCAGCAGUCCUCCUGCUUGCCUGCACUGGAAUGUGGUGCUAGAAGAAAUCCACUUAUUUAAAGUGUGAUCCUGAUUUGCCACUGUAAUCCUGUAAAUUUUGCUGAGCCAAAAAUAAAGUGCGAAUGGGAAAUCUCUCUGGCUCUGCAUUCCUAGUUCCUGUUCCCCCCCUCGCGACACAGAGUGACACAGCAAUCAGCUCGCGAACAAAUCAAGGUGUAAUUACAUCUCAGGUGACAAGACCCAAAUGACAUCUCGAGGCUGAAAGGGGAUUUUAUACAGACUGAAAGCUGACAAGACUUGUCUGCAUUUAAAUCGGCGAGGAUUUACAUUGAGUCACUGGGAAGACAACUGCAGCUCUGAUUAGACCCCCACGUGUUGUUAACAAAAAGAGAAACACUGACUCCAAAUGUGUGCAGACAUAGAAGGGCAUAUAUCAUGUACAGCAGCCUGAGGCACUGCACAGGCUGUCCAGUUCUAGGUGUAGUUAACAUCAUAUUUAUCGGGCUGAGAGGUGAGGAUAGGGGGCAGCCAUUCACUAAUGAUCAAAAUAACACUUUGUCAAUGUGAUAGCCCACUGUUCCUCAUUUUUUACACCCACCGACAGAACAUUUCUCAUGGCUUUGUUUACACCGGUGCUGCUGCCCUUGUGGUCAGCUGUGACAUAUAUAAAAUGUUGCCCCAUAAACUAUCAUUAUUUUCAUUGCAGUUGAUGUAUUGCUAUCAUUUAGUGGUGGAAACAAAUGUCUUGAGGAAGACGUAUUGGCUUGCAACUUUGAUUCCAACAUCAAUGACAAUGUGAGGCUUUUGUUUAUGGAAUUGGGGAGCAACAGAUGGCAAGCAUAUCUAUAAAUAAGUCGCUCUUCUGAACAGGAGAUUAGUACAUUUGAGCCGUUUUUUAAUGGUCUCCGGGAGAGAUUAAAAAGUAAGCUGAUUCAUAAUGCGUCUCUCUAUGCACUGAAUUACUCAUAAACAAGAUUCUGCAAAGAUCUGCGGUAAAACAACCUCUCAUCAUGCUUAAGAUAUGUAAAAAAGGAAGAAAGCAUGUCAUGUUUCUUGUCUGCAUGAGUGCAAUUUCAUAAAUCUUAAAUGUUACAAUGUUAUAAAGUCAUUUAGCGGACACUUUUAUUCAAAGUGACAUAUGUUCGAGAGAGAUCUAGACAAGAAGAAACAAGAUCAGUAAGUGCUUCAGGUCCAUUUGCACUUGGACUCUAACGUCAGGUUAAAAUGACUGACAAGCAUUACUUAGUUACACAAUCUAUCUUUCUUCCUUCUGUACAUAGAUAACUGCAGACCUUUCAACCCUGUGUACCUCAACUGGCAAGUGUGCAUAUUUUCACCACGUAUUUAUAUAUAGUAGAUAUAAAUUCAUAUAAAUCAUCGUUAAAGCCCGAAGCAGUUACUCUACAGUGCAACUCAAGCUCCAAAAGCAAAAUAACCAAUAGCAGAUUUCUGAGUUCACCGAGGAUAUAAUGUUAAUAAAUAUACAUAAACCUAUCUUGGUGUUAGCCUCUGGGUCACAUUUUCUCAAAGUUAUUGAAAUAGAAUGGAGAGAGAAAAAAAAAUACUCAAUUAUAUAACCACUGCUGAUCAGCCUACAGAUAGCCGCCCACCUGAGGCUACCUCGGCAUCCUCAACAAAUAUUGACGGAAUUCUUAUCUUUUUUUCCACAUAUUCGAACAAACACAAGCUGAAC
rnacentral:lncRNA from 1 species